CUUGUGAUAGAGAGAAGUUGUAAUUCUCAAAGAAAGUUAUUCAAUUGUUUCCAUAUUUUAUACAAAUUUCUAAUUUUUCAUCUCUAUAUUUUGUUGUGUCAUUUGUCUGGUACCUAACAGUCCGGGACGCGAGAACAGCGCGCGCGAUCGGAAGGUUUUGGUUGGCGUCGCUGCGAUGGUUGCUGCAGUGCCGCGAGAAGAACGCACACGAUCGACAAGUACAGGUGGUGGUGGGUCGCCUAUGCGCAUGUGGGUGAGAAACAGGGAGAACGGGAGAGAGAAGGCAAGACCGUAUAGAGAGAUUGUGUUCGUUUGUGUGUUUGAGUAACCGAUACCAACC
rnacentral:lncRNA from 1 species